rnacentral:rRNA from 1 species
UGCGGUGACGAUAUCGCAGGGGGCCCACCCGUUCUCAUCCCGAACACGGAAGUUAAGCCCUGUGGAGCCGAUGGUACUUGCUUGGCAACGAGCCGGUAGAGUAGGUAAUUGCCGCAU